rnacentral:rRNA from 1 species
GCAAGUCGAACGGGAAUUACUUUAUUGAAACUUCGGUCGAUUUAAUUUAAUUCUAGUGGCGGACGGGUGAGUAACGCGGGGGUAACCUGCCUGGUACAGGGGGAUAACAGUCAGAAAUGGCUGCUAAGACCGCAUAAGCGCACAGGACCGCAUGGUCCGGUGUGAAAAACUCCGGUGGUAUAAGAUGGACCCGCGUUGGAUUAGCUUGUUGGCAGGGUAACGGCCUACCAAGGCGACGAUCCAUAGCCGGCCUGAGAGGGUGCAC